rnacentral:rRNA from 1 species
AGAGCGAACGCUGGCGGCAGGCUUAACACAUGCAAGUCGAGCGGGCGUAGCAAUACGUCAGCGGCAGACGGGUGAGUAACGCGUGGGAACGUACCUUUUGGUUCGGAACAACCCAGGGAAACUUGGGCUAAUACCGGAUAAGCCCUUACGGGGAAAGAUUUAUCGCCGAAAGAUCGGCCCGCGUCUGAUUAGCUAGUUGGUGAGGUAAUGGCUCACCAAGGCGACGAUCAGUAGCUGGUCUGAGAGGAUGAUCAGCCACAUUGGGACUGAGACACGGCCCAAACUCCUACGGGAGGCAGCAGUGGGGAAUAUGGACAAUGGGCGCAAGCCUGAUCCAGCCAUGCCGCGUGAGUGAUGAAGGCCCUAGGGUUGUAAAGCUCUUUUGUGCGGGAAGAUAAUGACGGUACCGCAAGAAUAAGCCCCGGCUAACUUCGUGCCAGCAGCCGC